UUGGUUUUUGGGGGGAGAACCGUCAAAGGGUAGGCACAAGAAAACUAGAGGCAAUAGAAAUGGUGAACGACGCUGUGUUCGCAGGUCUUCUUGGUCCUUCUCACCCUCCCCCGCUCCAAUUACUUGUUUACCGCUUCUCGCAACCACAUUCUCCGUGAUGGGUUUUGCCCCUUUUUCCUCUUUCUUGGGUUUUCCUUUGAUUUCUGUCUCAUGCUGCUGUUUUCGUUCUGAUGCACUUGUUUGCUUACUGUAAUAAUUCUGUGCAGCUACAGAAGCAAUUGCAUUUCGCUUCUUUUAGUAAUCACAACAGCAACAAUGUUAAUUCGCUUCGAGUGGCAUCGUCUGCCAGCAAUGCAGCAUUAGAAUUAGCUGACAUUGAUUGGGACGAUAACUUCUUAUAACAUAUGAUUUUGGUGCAUAUUAUCAAUUACAUAGCAAAUUGGGAAGUCCAUACUUAGGGUAAUGAGAUAUCUACUCCUGCAAUAAAAGGAACCAUCCUGCCUGGCAUCACGAGAAAGAGCAUACUCGAUGUUGCUCGUAGUCAAGGAUUUGAGGUUGCAGAAUGCCAGGUAACAGUGGAUGAAUUGCUCGAGGCUGAUGAAGUCUUCUGCACAGGAACUGCAGUUGUGGUUUCACCCGUCGGCAGCAUAACUUAUCUCAAUAAAAGGGUAACUUAUGGAAGUGAUGGAGUUGGUCGCGUAUCACAACUACUCUACUCUGCACUUACCAGCCUACAAAUGGGACUCACCGAGGAUAAAAUGGGUUGGAUAGUGGAGCUCAAGUAGGCUUUAUUAUCAUUUCAGAUUCUUGUCUUGUUUGGAUUAAUGGAUAAUUGAUUUCAGCCCCCUGGAUCCUAUACACUAGUGUGGGAUAAGAGUACCGUUUUGACUGUGGAACCCUAGUUUCUGUGUUUAUGUAUUUAUUUCUGACAGAUCUGUUUUCAGUAAUUUAAGCGUCUCGUAGCUCAUCAUUAAUAUUCA